ACAAAUGUGUUGAGGUUCCGCGCGUAUAUUUUGUAGCUUGAUUUCUAUGAUAAACAUGCUAUAUUGAAAGUUGAAAGCGAUUGAAAUGAAUAAAAUACAAUCCAUACUUACUAACCACACCGACGAUUCGGGUUGACAACGAGAAGUAUGCGUAAAAUAGCGAUACAAUUAUAGCUGGAGUCAAUCUGGGUCGCAAGACGCACAUAAAAGAUACAUCAAUAUUGAUGAACAUAGAACAUCAGACCUGUACCACUGGCAACCUGUACCUUCACCAGAACAGACCAGAUACCUCACAAGACAGAAAGUGUGUGUCCAGCCAAGCAUUCAAUGGUUGAAGCUCUAAUAUCAGCUUGGGUGGAAAGAACAAUGAAGAUACAGAACAGACAUAAGCAUAAAGCUAAUGAGAUAUGGUAAACUGGAAUCUUGGUUGUAGUGGUGUUAGUACAGACACAGAAGAGAGAAGGCGGCUAAAAAACUGCAGUUCAGAGGGAUGAAAAUCUGAUCCGAUACUUUGUUGUGAAAGGGUAAAGUUUAUAUGGAACUCUGAAGGAGACAAAUACCAGAAACUUAGAGGGUUAGAAGUUAACAGUACAUGUACAUAUUUCCAUGAAGCAAAAGGUUUGAGCUGCGAACACCAAAGCAAAAGCAGAAAAGUUGAUGCCUUUGCAAAACUGACCUGGCAAGACCUAUAUGUAGGACUACAUGCAGCCCAAAUAUCCAAACCUAUUAACCUGAAUUGAAUUGCUGUUAACUCUCCUUUCUAGCUCUGUGGAUGCAGAGCUAGGAUUCUCAAGCCAGCCUAAUUCACCAAUCGCUGUCUCAGUAUAGACACAGAUGAUGUGCGGAAGAACAUUUUUCUCUUUCAGGAAAAUAGAAGAUGCACUGUAUAAAAAGAUGAAGAAGAUUGUAUUCAUUACUAUGUAUUGUAAUUUUUGACAUGUAUAUAUUUUCAGACAUAUGAUUGAAUUAUUGUAUCACAUAUGGCAAUUUUUCAAAAUGUUUAAAAUCAAUGAUACAAAAUUGAAAACAUGAAUACUUUUAUUAUUUGAAUGUAUUGUAUUAAACUGUGUUAUACCAAAAGGUCAUACAUUUUGUCAAAAUUAAUGUUAUAGCUGAUAGUCAAUCUUUACAUGGUAUACAUUAUAGUACUGAAAACUGGAAAAAGUAAGGCAGUGGCUAGAGAACUGGAAUCGGUUCC